rnacentral:tRNA from 1 species
AUAAUCAACGGAUAGAAUAGAAGUUUCCUAAACUUUAGAUACAGGUUCGAUUCCUGUUGAGACCA